rnacentral:rRNA from 1 species
UACGUAGGUGGCGAGCGUUGUCCGGAUUUAUUGGGUUUAAAGGGUGCGUAGGCGGCUUUGUAAGUCAGUGGUGAAAUACUCCAGCUUAACUGGAGGGGUGCCAUUGAUACUGCGGAGCUUGAGUACAGAUGAGGUAGGCGGAAUUGACGGUGUAGCGGUGAAAUGCAUAGAUAUCGUCAAGAACACCGAUAGCGAAGGCAGCUUACUGGGCUGUAACUGACGCUGAUGCACGAAAAGUGUGGGGGAUCAAAACAGGA